CCCGCUGAACUUAAGCAUAUUAAUAAGCGGAGGAAAAGAAACUAACAAGGAUUCCCCUAGUAACGGCGAGUGAAGCGGGAAGAGCUCAAGCUUAAAAUCUCCGUGCAAGUUUUGCGCGGCGAAUUGUAGUCUAUAGAGGCGUGAUCAGUGUGGGCGCUUGGGGCAAGUUCCUUGGAAGAGGACAGCAUGGAGGGUGAUACUCCCGUUCAUCCCUGAGUUGCUCGUGCGUACGAUCCGUUUUCUUUGAGUCGCGUUGUUUGGGAAUGCAGCGCAAAGUAGGUGGUAAAUUCCAUCUAAAGCUAAAUAUUGGUGCGAGACCGAUAGCGAACAAGUACCGUGAGGGAAAGAUGAAAAGAACUUUGAAAAGAGAGUUAAAGAGUACCUGAAACUGCUGAAAGGGAACCGAAUCGUUUCCAGUGUCUAUAAUCCGUGGUAUAUUUCAUUGGCGAGUGUGUGCGUGCGUGUGCUGUGGCAGCGGCUUUUUUGGCUGCGCUCGGCGUGUGUGCUGUGUGUGCUUGCUGGUGCCCUGUGCUGCGGUGGGGAGUCCAACGUCGUUUGAAGACUUGAGAGCGGUUAACGGGAUUGUCUGCCCCACAUUUCAAAUUGCGG
rnacentral:ncRNA from 1 species